rnacentral:misc_RNA from 1 species
UUUCCGUAGGUGAACCUGCGGAAGGAUCAUUAAAGAGGGCGUGUGGGCUUAACAUCCCUGCGAACCCCAACCCUUUGUUUACUGCCCCCUUGUGGUUUUACUUGGGCGCGGUUCUUCAGGCUAAAAUGCAACACUUUUGGUCUGAGGCCUCGCCCAGAAGGAUGCCACAAUUUAAAAUUCUAGUAAAUAUAUGAUGUCUGAAAAAAAUAUUUUAAAAUAAGCAAAACUUUCAACAACGGAUCUCUUGGUUCCGGCAUCGAUGAAGAACGCAGCGAAAUGCGAUAAGUAAUGUGGACCGCAGUACUCAGCGACUCAUCGAAUCUUUGAACGCAUAUUGCGCCCCUUGGUAUCCCAAGGGGCACACCUGUCCGAGCGUCAUUAUACAUCUCAUCUAGCCUGGCUUGCUAAGUCUUGCCGGGCUUGGUUUUGGGCUCCAUCUGCUUAACGUAGAGGUCUAAAAGUCAGUGGCGGAUCAAUUAGGCGUUCCAGCGUAGUGAUUAUACCAGCUGUAGAAACGUCUUUUGUAUACUGUCAAUACUUAAUGAAGUUUCAGAGUUUUUGCUGGUUGAAAAAGCCUGAUGGGCUUUUUUCCUGGCGGGAAUUUGGGAUUUCCCGAAUUAUUGACCUCGGAUCAGGUGAGGAUACCCGCUGAAUUUAA